GUUGAUAGGCCGGGUGUGUAAGCGCAGCGAUGCGUUGAGCUAACCGGUACUAAUGAACCGUGAGGCUUAACCUUACAACGCCGAAGGUGUUU
rnacentral:rRNA from 2 species